GGCGCGGUGGCCUAAUGGUAAGGGCGUUGGACUCUGGAUGAAGCGGUCUGGGUCUGAGCCCUGGUUGGGGUCG